rnacentral:tmRNA from 1 species
GGGGGUGAAUUAGGUUCGACACAGGUGAUUGUGGCAGUGUAAGCGAGCCGAGGUCCCAUACCUCGCUAAACAGUGGGAACCUAAAUUAAACGCAAACGAUAAUUAUACUCUAGCUGCUGCGUAAAGCAGCUACACUCUCCACUGCUGUGCCUGCCGGCGGCGGACAGAGUGUCACACAGUAGGCUACCUUUUUGGGGACGCCCAUAGCUAAAAAGGGAAACCUGAUGGGCUAGUCAUUGCCUAAUCCUGCUCUUGGGGCUGGGCAAGGGCGAAUGUGAAACAAGAGCUAUGCUCGUAGAAAGCAUUGUGGCUACACUUGUGGACAGCGGUGCAACUCCGCUCACCUCCACCA